UACGUAGGUCCCGAGCGUUGUCCGGAUUUAUUGGGCGUAAAGCGAGCGCAGGUGGUUUAUUAAGACUGGUGUAAAAGGCAGUGGCUCAACCAUUGUAUGCAUUGGAAACUGGUAGACUUGAGUGCAGGAGAGGAGAGUGGAAUUCCAUGUGUAGCGGUGAAAUGCGUAGAUAUAUGGAGGAGCACCGGUGGCGUAAGCGGCUCUCUGGCCUGUAACUGACACUGAGGCUCGAAAGCGUGGGGAGCAAACAGG
rnacentral:rRNA from 1 species